rfam:TPA: Bos taurus chromosome 25, whole genome shotgun sequence.
UCCGUGUUUGUCCAGUGGUUAGGGCACUGCACUUCCAAUGCAGAGGCCAGGGUUCAAUCCCUGGUCAGGGAA